GACGAACGCUGGCGGCGUGCUUAACACAUGUAAGUCGAACGGAAAGGCCCUGCUUGCAGGGUACUCGAGUGGCGAACGGGUGAGUAACACGUGGGUGAUCUGCCCUGCACUUCGGGAUAAGCUUGGGAAACUGGGUCUAAUACCGGAUAGGAGCCAUCUUUAGUGUGGUGGUUGGAAAGUUUUUUCGGUGUAGGAUGAGCUCGCGGCCUAUCAGCUUGUUGGUGGGGUAAUGGCCUACCAAGGCGGCGACGGGUAGCCGGCCUGAGAGGGUGUACGGCCACAUUGGGACUGAGAUACGGCCCAGACUCCUACGGGAGGCAGCAGUGGGGAAUAUUGCACAAUGGGCGCAAGCCUGAUGCAGCGACGCCGCGUGGGGGAUGAAGGCCUUCGGGUUGUAAACUCCUUUCGCUAGGGACGAAGCUUUGUUGUGACGGUACCUAGAUAAGAAGCACCGGCUAACUACGUG
rnacentral:rRNA from 1 species